CUUUAGUGCACGUGGCAACAAUAGCAGAUAUAGAGGUGUGCAGCUGUUCUUUGUGCUGGCGGAGACAGCCUGCACUGAUGCUGCAGCUGCACUGCGUUCUGCCAUUUCCUCGGAGCGGAUUGAGGGUGGUAUGGCAGUUGCUAUGGCAACCCGCUCUACUUGAGAGCAGCCAAAGGCCUCUCAGCACACUUUGAAACUGCUUCCUUCUCGUUAUGCUUCAGCAGUGUAAAAAGGUUUGGAUUUUUAUUAAAAAAAACAGAUACUUGUUGGCACAUUUUGCACAGUGUGGCGUUAAACGUUCCUCAAAACAGUGUGUGUGUGGAACUUGAAUGGAAGGGCAGCUCACAGUACAAGAGCAGUUUAAUAUGGGAAACCUUCACUCAAGCAAUGCCAAAGAGUAGCAAGGUGAGGAGAGCCUGUGAAAAUUGAGCAAUAGCAUUGAACUGAUUAGCUGCUUAACAGUUAACUAGUGAUACUCUGCUUUUAAACUGCUUGUGCUUUCAGUAUAUGUCCUAGAGUGUGCUGUUCUUCUCUCCCAUGUAAAUAUUCACUGCUGUACUACACAAAAUGGCUGCUAAAUAUGCCUGUCAUAUCAAAGAGUGAAGCAUGAAAGUACAAUGGGCAUUUGUAUCUGAAGGAUAUAAAGGACUGUAUGUGGAAUCUGCUGUGGGUUUAGUGAUGUCCAGUGGAGCUGCUGGAAAUGUAUUCUAUUCUGAAAUGUAAUUCCCCGGUUAUUCUAUUCUUUGUACUAUUGCUUAUGAAUAUCUAAUUAGCAUAACAAAUUUACAGUGACUUCUUAAUGUGUAGUAUGCUAAAUGUUCCUAUUGGAUUAUGGGGUAAUCUGAUUUACUGAAAUCCUUGAACAACCAUUCUCAAUAACCUUUGUGUGGACAUGCAGGAUCUGCUGAUGUGACUGUCUUCUAGUCUGAAAACACUCAGGAAAAUGGCCUGUGACAAACAUACCUUGCUCAGCUUUUUUGCUCGGUUCCAUUGAAACAUGCAUUGCCUAUAAUAUAUGUGAAUGAAGAAUUAAAAUU
rnacentral:lncRNA from 7 species